rnacentral:rRNA from 1 species
UGGGGAAUAUUGGACAAUGGGCGAAAGCUUCAUCCAGCCAUGCCGCGUGUGUGAAGAAGGUCUUCGGAUUGUAAAGCACUUUAAGUUGGGAGGAAGGGCAGUAAGCGAAUACCUUGCUGUUUUGACGUUACCGACAGAAUAAGCACCGGCUAACUCUGUGCCAGCAGCCGCGGUAAUACAGAGGGUGCAAGCGUUAAUCGGAAUUACUGGGCGUAAAGCGCGCGUAGGUGGUUCGUUAAGUUGAAUGUGAAAGCCCCGGGCUCAACCACGGAACUGCAUCCAAAACUGGCGAGCUAGAGUAGGGCAGAAGGUGGUGGGAUUUCAUGUGUAGCGGUGAAAUGAGUAGAUAUAGGAAGGAACACCAGUAGCGAAGGAGACAACCUAUGUUCAUAAUGACACUGAGGUGCGAAAGAGUGGGGGGCAAACAGG